GCAUCCGUAGCUCAGUCGGAUAGAGCACUCAGCUACGAACUGAGAGGUCGGAGGUUCGAAUCCUUUCGGAUGCA
rnacentral:tRNA from 1 species